UCUGGGUUCUGGGGAAACAUAUUUUCUUACAAAGACAAAAAAAAUACAAAAUUCUUAUGACUUCAAAUUUGCAUUUUUGGUGGCACAACCCUUUAAACACCUCGCCACUCAGCUUUCAUUCGUAGUCAAUUCCUUGGUGUGAACCCUGAAGGCAGUGUCUGUAUAUUAUCAACUAGAGGACCUAUCUAACUUAUGAAGCACCAACCACACCUAUACCUUAAUGCAAGUUUGGACAGCACUGACCAAACAACCCAUUACAUUCGCUGGUGGCCAUCCACUAGAGGGCGAUAUGGACUCCGCUCCUGCUUUUCGAUCAAUUAUAUUGUGAGCAGCCUAUAAUUAAUGUUGUGCAAUAAAAUGGCUAAACGGCCUAAUUUAGCAUGUUGAAUUAAUAAUAGUAAUAAUGCAUUUAGUUGAUUAUCUAAAAAUAGCUAAUAUUUGAGUAAUUUGUGAAAAGUGGCACAGCUAUACCAUCGUCAGGAUGUGAAGCACAGUCGUUUUUAACACAAGACACCAAGUUUAAGCGCAUUAACACAUUGUGGUCAAAAGUUAUUCUCUCACUCUGAAAAGCUCAUCAAAAUGCUGUUGUGAUAUGUCAUAUCGAGGUGAUGAACUCUGGCCAAAGCAAGUGGGGGCUGCUGAACCAGGUAUCUGGACUCCCUAUCACACAGCAAUGAGAUGGACCUUUCUCCCAUUAAACAGGGUUCUGCUCAUAAACAUUGCCAUACAUACAACUUAUCGUAAGAGGGAAAGUCAAGUCCCAAAUGGUGUGUGUGCCCUCUCCCUCUCCCCUGAUGAAGGCUAGCUCUGCUGCUGAAAGAGUCUUCAUUGUUGUCAUAAUUCUUCUCAUGAAACAGAACGUGGUAAGAGUGUGGUAAACCAGUGAGGAAUCCUCCCCCAACCCAGUAAUGUAGGCCUACUCUAGAUAUAAAAACCAUCACCACCACGUUUUUGACCUUGUCGCAUAGUGAGGAAGCACGCCAUGAAAUCCACAUUUUUAUUAAGAAUGCUGAACAGAUAUUUUUAAAACAGAUAUGAUUUGAAUGAUAUGAAUGUGUUGGUAUUUCUUAAAAAUAGCAGUUGAAGUAGGGAGACCAGGGACAGUUGUAACAGGGGACGGUUGUAACACUGUGAAUUCCUCCAAUCAGAAACCAGCUAUGAUGACGAAACUCACUGUGCUUGUGCACAUUUAGUUUCCCUCCUUACUUGCGAAAACGGGAGUCGCAUUUGAAACCUACAGGGGGCGCUAUAAAGCAAAGUCUGUUUUUGAGGUCAAAAAAACACUUUUCUUCCCGAUGUUCUUUUUUGGAUGCUGUCCAAAGAUAAAAUGUCUACGAAUUCAAACAAGUAUUAUUAGAAUCCCUGUUUUGUAAGCUACAAAUAUACAUGGCUAUCAAGUGUCAAACUAGCAGUCAAGCCAGUUGACAUGAGAUCAAAACAUGGUUCGUCAUACUGGGACAGUUGUAACGCCCUGUUACAACCGUCCCAGUAUGACGAACGAAUGUUUAAGUUAAUGUUCUUUUUUUUGGUUUUGUAAAUUUGUGAAGUGUUCAUAUAGUGUAAUAAUUCUUAUGUUAAUAGAGGUGUUCUACGCAUUAAAUCAUUUUCCGCAUUAUAA